rnacentral:rRNA from 1 species
UACGUAGGGCGCAAGCGUUGUCCGGAAUUAUUGGGCGUAAAGAGCUCGUAGGCGGUCUGUUGCGUCUGCCGUGAAAACCCGAGGCUUAACCUCGGGCCUGCGGUGGAUACGGGCAGACUAGAGGUAGGUAGGGGAGAAUGGAAUUCCCGGUGUAGCGGUGAAAUGCGCAGAUAUCGGGAGGAACACCGGUGGCGAAGGCGGUUCUCUGGGCCUUACCUGACGCUGAGGGGCGAAGGUCAGGGGAGCAAACGGG